AUCAAUACCAACAGAAUGAAGCAGUUGAUGGAAAGAAAUACCAAUCCAGCCAUCCAGAUGAGCAGAAAUGUGUUACGUCCUUCAAACUCCAGGGUUGCACACAGCUGUACCCUGGACAUUGACCUUCAAUUCCUGGAGACUCUAGGCCAAUCCUGGAGGACUGGCAACCGUAAAUGGAGGAUGACGGGCAGGCUCCUGAAGAUGCUGGGCUAAUCAAUAGGGAGAGAUAGGUGCUGCUGAGGAAGCUCAGGUGCCUCAAAAUGGAGGCACACCGGAGAGUCGAGAGUGUCCUGAUAAGGGGAAAACGACAAUUUAUACUGUAUGUGAAGAAAGUGCUGAUUGGUUGUCAAGUGGCAUUGCCAUGGAGAAUGCACCACUGAUGGUGACCAGGCAGCUUGACCCUGAUU